ACGCUGGCGGCAUGCCUAACACAUGCAAGUCGAACGAGUGCCUUCGGGUGCUAGUGGCGCACGGGUGCGUAACGCGUGGGAAUCUGCCCCUUGGUUCGGAAUAACAGUUAGAAAUGACUGCUAAUACCGGAUGAUGACGUAAGUCCAAAGAUUUAUCGCCGAGGGAUGAGCCCGCGUAGGAUUAGGUAGUUGGUGUGGUAAAGGCGCACCAAGCCGACGAUCCUUAGCUGGUCUGAGAGGAUGAUCAGCCACACUGGGACUGAGACACGGCCCAGACUCCUACGGGAGGCAGCAGUGGGGAAUAUUGGACAAUGGGCGCAAGCCUGAUCCAGCAAUGCCGCGUGAGUGAUGAAGGCCUUAGGGUUGUAAAGCUCUUUUACCCGGGAUGAUAAUGACAGUACCGGGAGAAUAAGCUCCGGCUAACUCCGUGCCAGCAGCCGCGGUAAUACGGAGGGAGCUAGCGUUAUUCGGAAUUACUGGGCGUAAAGCGCACGUAGGCGGCUUUGUAAGUUAGAGGUGAAAGCCCGGAGCUCAACUCCGGAAUUGCCUUUAAGACUGCAUCGCUUGAAUCCAGGAGAGGUGAGUGGAAU
rnacentral:rRNA from 1 species